AUUAAACUAAUUAAACCCAAUAAAACGACUUAAGUAAUACUUAACAGAUAACAGACUUAUCAUUGUGAUCAAGUAAUGCACAGCCCUAACACUCUGCAUCUACUUCUUCCAGCGGUGCUUCACAAACGAAAAACUGGGCUGCCCAGCCGUCCUCCGGUUAUAUUGUUGUGUAUCCGAUAAGUGAUUUCACCACCAUAGCUGCAGUCUUAAAAUCACGUUCUGCGUGCCGCGGCUGCCGCAUCCCCAAGCUUCUGGGUCAAGGUUGAACCCAGGUUAUUGGGAUACUAAGAUUGGUAUCACCCACGAUCUUGGCUCCCUUCCGUGCAUGCCCCGCCAAAUUGCUGCUACCUGCGCAACCACCAUGGAUGCUCGAGUUUCUUCCUUGGAAGCUGCUUUUGCUUCCAUUCCUGCUCUCAUCGCCGAGAAUGUGAAGUCCUUUGUGAACGCCGCUGUUGCUACUGCCAUGGAUUCCUAGCUCUCGGCACAACUCGAUCAUCAUCUUCCCAUCUAUUUCGAGCAAUUUCGACAUGAAAUCCGAUCAUCCACCUCUUCGCGAUCGGGAUCAGAUCCAGUUGCCUCAAAGCCUGUUGAAGUGUUGAAGUGUAUUUUGGCCUCUAGAGUCAGCUACCAUAUUCUCUAGGGAUAGCUCUAGGCACUAGAGUAAUUAGUCUUCUUUCCUUGAUUUAAGGGAUGUGAUUGAUUGGUGCAAGUUGUUUUUUGUAAGGUGUAGAUUAGGCUAGCUUCUCUUUCUUCCCCCUCUU
rnacentral:sRNA from 1 species